rnacentral:rRNA from 1 species
GCUAAGGUCCCAAAGUCAUGGUUAAGUGGGAAACGAUGUGGGAAGGCCCAGACAGCCAGGAUGUUGGCUUAGAAGCAGCCAUCAUUUAAAGAAAGCGUAAUAGCUCACUGGUCGAGUCGGCCUGCGCGGAAGAUGUAACGGGGCUAAACCAUGCACCGAAGCUGCGGCAGCGACGCUGAUGCGUUGUUGGGUAGGGGAGCGUUCUGUAAGCCUGUGAAGGUGGCCUGUGAGGGUUGCUGGAGGUAUCAGAAGUGCGAAUGCUGACAUAAGUAACGAUAAAGCGGGUGAAAAGCCCGCUCGCCGGAAGACCAAGGGUUCCUGUCCAACGUUAAUCGGGGCAGGGUGAGUCGACCCCUAAGGCGAGGCCGAAAGGCGUAGUCGAUGGGAAACGGGUUAAUAUUCCCGUACUUGGUGUUACUGCGAAGGGGGGACGGAGAAGGCUAUGUUGGCCGGGCGACGGUUGUCCCGGUUUAAGCGUGUAGGUGUGUGUUCCAGGUAAAUCCGGUUCACUUUAACACUGAGGCGUGAUGACGAGGCACUACGGUGCUGAAGCAACAAAUGCCCUGCUUCCAGGAAAAGCCUCUAAGCAUCAGGUAACAUCAAAUCGUACCCCAAACCGACACAGGUGGUCAGGUAGAGAAUACCAAGGCGCUUGAGAGAACUCGGGUGAAGGAACUAGGCAAAAUGGUGCCGUAACUUCGGGAGAAGGCACGCUGACACGUAGGUGAAGUGAUUUACUCAUGGAGCUGAAGUCAGUCGAAGAUACCAGCUGGCUGCAACUGUUUAUUAAAAACACAGCACUGUGCAAACACGAAAGUGGACGUAUACGGUGUGACGCCUGCCCGGUGCCGGAAGGUUAAUUGAUGGGGUCAGCGCAAGCGAAGCUCCUGAUCGAAGCCCCGGUAAACGGCGGCCGUAACUAUAACGGUCCUAAGGUAGCGAAAUUCCUUGUCGGGUAAGUUCCGACCUGCACGAAUGGCGUAAUGAUGGCCAGGCUGUCUCCACCCGAGACUCAGUGAAAUUGAACUCGCUGUGAAGAUGCAGUGUACCCGCGGCAAGACGGAAAGACCCCGUGAACCUUUACUAUAGCUUGACACUGAACAUUGAGCCUUGAUGUGUAGGAUAGGUGGGAGGCUUUGAAGCGUGGACGCCAGUCUGCAUGGAGCCGGCCUUGAAAUACCACCCUUUAAUGUUUGAUGUUCUAACGUGGACCCGUGAUCCGGGUUGCGGACAGUGUCUGGUGGGUAGUUUGACUGGGGCGGUCUCCUCCUAAAGAGUAACGGAGGAGCACGAAGGUUGGCUAAUCCUGGUCGGACAUCAGGAGGUUAGUGCAAUGGCAUAAGCCAGCUUGACUGCGAGCGUGACGGCGCGAGCAGGUGCGAAAGCAGGUCAUAGUGAUCCGGUGGUUCUGAAUGGAAGGGCCAUCGCUCAACGGAUAAAAGGUACUCCGGGGAUAACAGGCUGAUACCGCCCAAGAGUUCAUAUCGACGGCGGUGUUUGGCACCUCGAUGUCGGCUCAUCACAUCCUGGGGCUGAAGUAGGUCCCAAGGGUAUGGCUGUUCGCCAUUUAAAGUGGUACGCGAGCUGGGUUUAGAACGUCGUGAGACAGUUCGGUCCCUAUCUGCCGUGGGCGCUGGAGAACUGAGGGGGGCUGCUCCUAGUACGAGAGGACCGGAGUGGACGCAUCACUGGUGUUCGG